rnacentral:rRNA from 1 species
CGNAGACCCGUGCCCACUGUUNCCNGCAUGUCCUCCGGGAUGAUGGGUACUCUGUGGGGACCGCCGGUGUUAAAUCGGAGGAAGGUGCGGGCCACGGUAGGUCAGUAUGCCCCGAAUUUCCCGGGCUACACGCGGGCNACAAUGAAUGGGACAAUGGGUCCCUCCCCUGAAAAGGGCUGGUAAUCUCACAAACCCAUCCUUAGUUCGGAUCGAGGGCUGUAACUCGCCCUCGUGAAGCUGGAAUCCGUAGUAAUCGCGUUUCAAUAUAGCGCGGUGAAUAC